rnacentral:lncRNA from 1 species
AGACUGCAGCAGGGAAACAAGGGUCGCAGCCAGUCCCAACUCUGGAACAUCAGGUCAAUGACAAAGCAAAGUCAGAUUUUCGCACUUGGCUAUGUUUGCUCUAAGUCACCCUACUACAUUCUCCGACACCCAGACUGUGCCUGACUGAGCACCUCAUCCACGAGGCCAUGGGCAGCUUCAUUCCUGGGCUUACGAAGGCUCGUUCUGCAGUGACACCCUCCCUCACUUGACAUGGAAAGUCUCCUGGGGCACUCACUUCCCAGGCUCUGGAAGGGCAGGCCUUUCCAGCUCCCUGCACCUGCUUGGCGCUGUUGGAACUACUUCCCAGUAGGCAGCAAGCUUCAGCAGCCAGAUGUCGGAUCUCUGGGGCUGCCAAGCGCUGAGCACUACCUAAGCCAUGGGGGAGAGGAGACCUGGGAAGUGCCGUGUGUGACUGCUGCUCACCUGCUUCCCAAGUUCCUCUCCUAUCCACGUGUCCUCGUGUUCUCAGGGAAGGUGCACACUCCAGGUCAGGGGACAGCGGUGCUGUGUGCAGAUUCCCCCUUGGCUUUCUGCCCCACUUCUGUGUGUCUGACCCCAAGUUCGGCUGCUUCUGCAGCCGUGAAGUGGUCACAUUCUAAACUUUUGAACAAACUUGAAGGCCUGCAAAUGAAUGUGAGCAUUGCUAUUUCCAGCUAUGGUGUCACUGGCAAUGGCGAUGGUUAGUGUGGUCCGCAGAGAACAAAGUCUUUGGCGAAGAAGAGUCCUCAACCUGGGAAACAGGCAGAGAGCAUCCACCUCCCAGGACACAGGGUCAACACAAGGCCGAGCAGGAAACCUGGAGGGACAAGCUUCCACUUCGUUCCCACAGUUCCUGCCGCUUAGAGAACACAGUCCAGGACGCUACGUGGAUGUGACUCUUGGUUUUGUUUUUGUUUGAGAUAGAAUUUCAUACUAUGUAGACCAGGCUGAUCAAACUCACCAUCUUCCUGCCUCAGCCCCGCAGCUCCCCAUCUCUGGGAUUACAGCUAUAUACCACGACACCUAUCUCAGACUCCUUGACAAGAUACAAAAUAAAUAAACAAACAAACAAUCACCAAGCAA